ensembl:lncRNA
CAAAAAGUAUCAGAGCAGUUCAGAGAAGGAGAGGUCCCAGAGAGGGCAUCCAGGAAGCUCUUGAAGAGGAGGGUCUGACCCUCGGACCAGAGAGGGCAGAGUCGCAAAGUCCUCAAGAAUUGGGGCAGGGGUUGACCAGUCAUGGCUCAAGGUUAAAUGCAGUCUCUUCCUGUUUCUGCAAACAGGUUCUGCUGGAUCGCAGCAACAGCCAUGGGUGAAUGAGCCACCUUGGCUGCUCCUGUGCUGCACAGACAGAACCGAGGGGCUACCAUAGGGGCAGCGAGGCCUGCAAAGCCUGAAACAGUUACACCUUGGUCCUUUGUAGUGAAAGCUGGCUGAUCCCUGCUCUAGUGCUCAGGGCUUCCCUAAGGAGUGAUUUGAGGGAUUCCAGUGCAGUGAGACUGCUUCACAAAACAUCAUAGCCUCCCUAACGGGCUUGGGAGACAUGCCUAACAUUCCCACCUUCAGAGGCGUUUAUGAUGUUCCUUCGGAGGUGGAAGGCUCUGAGAAAUCUGCAUAGCUUAAGGCGUUUGCUGUUUACCUUAGCAUUCCCCAAACUAGUUAGAUCUAUCAAACCUGCUUUGCCCAUGAACACCCCUUAACAUCCUGAGAGGCUGGUGUUCCGUGGACGCCUCUGGUAAACAGCGGUUGGGUGGAGCUAACGGCCGAGUUCUUAGCCCAGCCCUGUCAAUAAGCUAAGUGGCCUUGGCUGAAUUGCAUGCCCACCGGGGCCUGCUCACCUUCCUGUUGGCACGGGAUAAGGAAGUCUGUCCUGCCUGGUCUGAGGGUUUUCCAGGCAAGUCCCUGAGAGAGUUUAGUGGGCACAAAAAGAGUCUGGAGAGAGGACUGUGGUAUCGGGGGUGUAGUAAUUAGUUUUGCUUCGACACACUGCUUAGCAGUGGUGGAGUGGGGACGCACCAGACCGAGGUCACGAUUUCUUGCCUCUAGUCCUCACUCUGCUGUCAACAGCUGGGUUAAGUCAAUGAUGUUAGUUCUGGGAGAGCGCUGUGCUGUAGAUCGCGCUGGCCAGGCCCAACUUGCCUCCUCCUGUGGAUGAGGCAGGGUCCCUCAGGAGGAGAACAGGUGACAAGAGGGCGUGGUGGAACAAGGCCUGGCUGAGGAGAGGAUGCAUCUUCCUCCCGUCCAUUCCCCAGAAAACCCUCAAGCAUGACGUCCUGCAGACCUUAGCUACUCUCCGGGCUCCGGUUACAGGGUUACAGACCAGCCCCUUUGCCUUCCCCUGCACUUCUCUUAUCUCUACACUACAAAUAAAGGUGCUGCAGUUGCCUGGGGUCUUUUUCUCCCAUCAGGAGUUAGAGCCCUACCUGGCCCCAGCUUUGCUUCUCUUUGUUCUUUUGUAUCUCUUCGUCUUUGUCCUUUCUCAAUCUCCCACCACCUGGACUCCCACUCUGCAGACCCCUCCGCCACGCAGGCCCUGGUAUAGUCCCCUCAUUUCUGCCUGGGGGUUUUAGACUCAUUAGUCUCUAAGGAUCUCUCCGCUCUGAAAUUCUACCAUCCAUUUGGCUAGGUGCGUGCCACUUCCCACCCUGUCCCAAGCAACACGUGUCUCUCUCAAAGGCGGAGACUGCCUCUCUGGGGUUCUUGGUGGCGCCUCUGGGUUUAGAACCGGAAAUGGUGAAGGGCUACUCAAGGAUGUCAGAUGCUGCCGACAAUUCAGAGCGAGAGCUGGGCCUCCUGAAAAUGUUCUCCUGACAGUUCUUAACUUGGCAUUGGAAGCCUUCUCUCCCUUCUGCUUCCAUUGCUCCAAGAUUCCUCUGUCCAAACUCAGAGUCCUUGACAGCAUCUGGCAAGGGAAAAGAACAGAUGCGAUUCUGGAAAAGACAGUGAGGUCAAGGAUGGAGAGAAAGCUCCCUAGCAGACAUGAGGUGAUCUCUUCCAGUGUUCAGCAUUUGAGGCAUCCUGUCUCCUUUGGCUAUGAGGUCAAGAUGGUCACAUCUGCUUCUCCAGGUGGAGCUCCAACUCCAUUAGCUUCUCCCCAGAGCCGCCUUUGCCACAGGAGCAGAGCCACAAACAGAAACGGAGCCAGCAUGGCGGAGACUGGAGCCAGGGCCCAUGAGCCGCUUUCAUCUUCUGGAAAAGCACUGGAAGGAGCCAGGGCCGGAUGGGAAGAACACAGGAGAGGGAGGUUGGAGAUGGACAGGCUGAAGACCACUGCCCCCCAGCCCUCGCUUGUUUCACAGAUGCUGUCUCUCUGCGGGUGGUGUCCAAGGUCCAUGGACCUGCAGCCGGGGUUGCUCCUUCAGCGGAGACCAGCGCUUGUUGCUUAGAGACCAUAGUUGCUUCUGAGUCUGGGUAGAUCCUGAAGUCCAUCUAUCGGCUGCUGGCGAUGCCGUCCUGAAGGAUGCUGUGAGGAAUGCGUCAGCAGCUGCAGGGGCUGUAGGGAUGGUGCUGGAAGAACCUGUGGGAAUGCCAGAGGAGAGCACAGGGAGAGGCUACCCAGGCUGCCCAGUGGAUUUAGCAAAGGGCACUGGGUUUAAAAUGUUUGUUAAACAGGCCGCACCCUCACUAAGAGGUGCAGUGUUUGGCCGAUAUGUUGGGAUACAACAGCAAGGUAAGGAUCCUGGAUAUAUUCAGAAUUAUUCUCUCGUCUCCUAUAUUUUCCCAUCUCAUGGAUAUAUAUAGAUAUUCUCUCAUCUCAUGCAAAUACUGAUAUCUUAUACUCCUAUGGCCUUCUCCCAGGCCCACGUAGUCUCCAUCCCGCUGCCCCAGGUCCCCGUGCGUCUGCUUUCUCCAGAGGCCUCAGCCUAUCAGGGUCUCCUCUUGAGAGAAAGGAAGAGAAGCACUGCAGUUCCCAAACAGCAGCCAGCAGUGGCAGCAGGGACAGAAGCAUCCAAUAAAGCCCAACUGCUCUCCUAGCUGGCGGUCCUGAUGGACUGUGGCUUCCAAAGCCUGGUGUCCCUGCUUGUACUCUGGGUGCCUGCUCUGGACCAACCCUCCAGAACCUGUCCCCAGGGCCUGGGCCUAGGGGCUGCCUGCUGUCUGCAGAGGGGCCGAGGAAGGGUCUGUCAGGGAAGAGGUUGUCCCGGCUCUUUUCUGUCUGUCAGGCUGCUCUGCAGUGCUACCCCUGAUCUGUAUGCCACAAUAUGUUGCCCUCAGGACCCUAAGAUGCCAUAUGAUCCAAUUUACUACCUUCCUGGAACAAUCUCCAAAUAUAUAUUCCACAACAUCCAGGGUAUGGCCAUUCGGGUGGAGUGUCAACUUGAUUGGCUUUGGAAUCUUCCCAGGGAUCAGUGGAGCUCACAUCUGGGUGUGUCUGGGUGAUCAUGGAGGUGCGAUCUUGGAGUCUGAGUCUGGUCCCUCAUCCCUUCCUCUCUGGCACUGCUUCCCUGCUCUGCUUCCCAGUCACCACGAGCUAAGCAUUUUGGCCCUGCCGUGCCCUUCUGCCUUGAUGUUUCUGCCUUGGAGCUGGCUUGCCAUGGACUGAAUCCUCAGAAAUCAUGAGCCAAAUUAAACCUCUCCUCCUUUACGUUGUGAGUGCCAAGUAUUGUGCGCCAGCAACAGGAAGCUGACUGAUUAGCCGGUGUUGGGAGAGUUGGGUGGGGGAAUUUGGGUGCACUCAGUUGUUUUUUCCUAAUACCUCCCUUCUUUCUGGAAAUUGCCUCCCAUGAGGAAAGGCUGCCUCUUAGAGCCAUUGCCCUGGCCCAGCCUUUCAGCUCACUCCUCCAAGGCCUAAAGCUUUCCUGGCCCUGCAAACUUUCUCUUGCCACCACUGCUUCCUAGCUUGAGCUUCUCCAAGCACAGCCCAUUGGCCAUCAGCUCUCACCUGCAGAGACAGUCAGAUUCACGCUGGAGAACAGCCUGUUGUUGCUGUCCCCAAUGCCGCAGCGGUAGUGUCCCCCGUCUUCCAUGGACAGUUGGGACAGCCUCACCACAAACAAGCUGCUCUGUGGGAAGUCUGCUAGAGCUGCACGGCCACGGUAGUCACGGUGGGUGUAGUGGUUGGUGGACACGAUAGUGUGGCAGGUCCACAUUGGAGGCCCCACGCGGCACCAGUACUUCCUCUGGUGCCUGUUGAUGGACAGGGGGGCGUAAUGGCACUGGAUGGUCACAGCUCCUCCAAGCUCUCCAGACACCAGCCUUGGGCUGUUCAGUGUACUUGCAGCUGCAAAUGGAGAGAACAGCUGACGGCGACAGAGGGGUGGGUGUCCUCACCAUUGGGGAGUUACAAGGCAAACUCUGCUAGCUCUAAGGGUCAGGACAGAAGACAGGACUGUGAAAGUGGAGUAGAAUUAACAUAGAAAUGGCAGAGCUGAGGCGUGGAGGAAGCAGGAGCUGCCCCAAGAUACGGACUGGAGCAGGGUGCAAGGCUCCAUGUACAACAUGAAAACGCAGUGAGAAUCUUGCCCACUUUUUUCCCCCAGCACUGAGAUUGAACCCAGGGCCCUGCGUCAAGAGCACUCUCCCACUCUACACCCUCCCCCAUUUCGCUGAAGCAUAAUUUUGAGUGGGGUUUUCCUAACACAAAGUUUGUUUUUGCUCACAAACCCGUGAUCCUCUAGCCUCAGCUUCUCGAUUAGCUGGGCUUUCCGGUGUGUGCCACCACCCCUCAUCCCCACACACUACAUUGCUAAUACUUAUCGUGUGCAGAUCAUGGGUUGAUCCCACUGUGCGUCAGUGCAGAUGCCAUCGUCGCUCCCAUGAGAGGGCGGAAGCAACCUCUGGUUUGCAUGGCAUUUAAAAGACAGAUGCUGAGCGAGGUGAACAUGUCAGUGUGCUUUUCCUCCGAACCAAAGAAUCCUGCUCUGCCUGCCUGAUCUAGGAUGUAUAUACCCCUAGACCAGUAGCUGCAAAGUUUUUCACACUGACCACUUUUCUAGAGACAUGGAAACAACCGAGGCAGAUGGACACCUGCUUUGGCAACAGCCCCAAAGACAACUCACACUGGAGCCGCAGAGCGUGGUCAGCUUACAGAAUGACUGCAGUCUGCUAUAGUGCAAACCGAAAAAAGCUCAUUCUCUUUCCCACUGCCUCUUCACAACUUUGUCUGCUCCUCGGAGAAAUCACAGGUGCAGUCUCAUGUCUAGUAGCUUUUACUGUCUGUCCUAGAUAGGAAAGUCCAGUCUAGUAUAAAAUUAUACACCUGGCUCAGUCAGAGGAGAGUGCACUGCAGUCGCUCACUCAGUGGGGCCUUUCUUCUUUUGGCGGCCACCUGGGGAAGGAGUGGCAGGUUGGGUCCUGUGCUGUACUUUCCCCUCCUCUACUCAAAGCUGCAGUUUGGGGCCCCUCCAGGACCGGGCACGGAGAAGAGCAAGGAGGUAAAUAGAUAGUUAUAAUCUGCCCUUGGUGUUCUCUGGCAUGGCCAAGAUGUCCUCUUUCUGGGCCCCAAAGGCUUUCUUGGUGGCUUCUAGCCCACUGGCCCUCUGUUAGUGGUCACGAUCCCCUCUGGGUGCCCAUGAGGUGGAGGCCCCACAUGUGGCCACAGGUGCCACACCCUUAUCCUGCUAUUAGAAGAAACCUGGGACACAUGACAAACUUGGGUGGUUCUCUAGAAGCUCCUUCUCUUAUUUGGCCUAAUGUGAGAGGGAGUGAUCCCUCUGGGCCCCAGGGCAGGAGGAAGGGGACCGAACAGCUGAUAGCUCCCCCUCCAGUGGUCUCAUGGGAGCUCUCUGCCUCUAAGGAGCCAUAUGUAAUGGCCCAGGUGGCUGCACGAUGGGCCAGCACUGGGACUAGCUUUACAGUCUCAGUCUGCAGUCCUACAAAUUGGUUCCCCAUCUUGCUUUAGGGUGUGGGUGCCUCAUGAUUGGCUCUUGGCCCCUAGCUCUCUGUACCCAAGAAUGUUCUGUUUAACACCGCAUUGCUGGGCUGCUAAUUUGUGAGUCUCGGUGCAAGAUCUGCAAAUGACAAGUACAAGUGAAAAUGGGAGACUCCUUGUCCAAAGUUUCUGAAGAAUUUUAUGCAGCCUCACCAGAGAAUGAGUCAAGCACUGUUGGAGAGCAGCACCUUGUGUGAUCUGUGCAUUCUGUGUGUCCUGAGGUCUAAUGACAGGAAAAUUAAGGUCGGGCAUGCUAUGGGUGUAUGCAUGCUCACUCUAGAUUUAAUUAAACAGCAUCCCCCAAUCCACGCAACUGAUAAUCAAGUUGAACAGUGAUGUAUUAAUAAAGGGUAAGAAUGUUUACUAUCACAAUGGGCCAUCUGAAGGCAGCAGCGGUGACGCCCCAAUAAAAUGCUUAUAGCCAGGUUUUAGGAGUCCCUGCGCUGUACAUAUGUCACAUGUCAGAUGAGUACAGAUUCAUUGAUCUCCAGCACUAGGCAGUCUGACUUCACAGUAGAAAGAUGGCUAAGAAUUCUUCUUGCAAUGCAUAUCAUUUUUAUUAACAUCAAAGUUAAC